rnacentral:tRNA from 1 species
GACCCCAUCGUCUAGAGGCCUAGGACACUACCCUUUCACGGUAGGUACCGGGGUUCGAAUCCCCGUGGGGACGCCA